GUGUCGGUAUCUGUGAUACCAUGACAACUCUUUGUGAGUUUAUGGGAGAUAUCAGGGUGGAGACCGGGUCCAAGGGGGAGGUGCAUGAACAUGCUCGGAGUUCUAUCUGCGCCGGUUCAGGAGAGCAGCCGUCCCUCCUUCCCACAGUGGAAGCCAGGCCUCAUUUGAGCUUUGCUUAAAGAUUGAAUUAGGAGACCAGCGGUCACGCUCCCAGACUGGUCUGUCGGUUUGGGAGUCAAGUAGUAAGC